rnacentral:rRNA from 1 species
GCCCAAGAGAUCGGGAUAACACCUGGAAACAGAUGCUAAUACCGGAUAACAACAGAUGAUGCCUAUCAACUGUUUAAAAGAUGGUUCUGCUAUCACUCUUGGAUGGACCUGCGGUGCAUUAGCUAGUUGGUAGGGUAACGGCCUACCAAGGCGAUGAUGCAUAGCCGAGUUGAGAGACUGAUCGGCCACAUUGGGACUGAGACACGCCCAAACUCCUACGGGAGCAGCAGCU